rnacentral:rRNA from 1 species
GAUGAACGCUGGCGGCGUGCCUAAUACAUGCAAGUCGAGCGAACGGACGAGAAGCUUGCUUCUCUGAUGUUAGCGGCGGACGGGUGUGUAACACGUGGAUAACCUACCUAUAAGACUGGGAUAACUUCGGGAAACCGGAGCUAAUACCGGAUAAUAUUUUGAACCGCAUGGUUCAAAAGUGAAAGACGGUCUUGCUGUCACUUAUAGAUGGAUCCGCGCUGCAUUAGCUAGUUGGUAAGGUAACGGCUUACCAAGGCAACGAUGCAUAGCCGACCUGAGAGGGUGAUCGGCCACACGGGAGCUGAGACACGGUCCAGACUCCUACGGGAGGCAGCAGUAGGGAAUCUUCCGCAAUGGGCGAAAGCCUGACGGAGCAACGCCGAGUGAGUGAUGAAGGUCUUCGGAUCGUAAAAAUCUGUUAUUAGGGAAGAACAUAUGUGUAAGUAACUGUGGACAUCUUGACGGUACCUAAUCAGAAAGCCACGGCUAACUACGUG